UCUCUGAUGGUUCAGUGGUUAAGACAUUGCACUUCCAAUGCAGAGGGUCAGGGUUCAAUCCCUGGUCAGGGAA